rnacentral:rRNA from 2 species
UUGACCUCGGAUCAGGUAGGAAGACCCGCUGAACUUAA